CCGGGUUUGGCCGGGGUAGGCCGUUAUUGUAAAUAAGAAUUUGUUCUUAACUGAUUUGCCUAGUUAAAUAAACACAGCACAAACAGAUCUGGGACCAGACUGUCCACAGGCUACCGUGCUGCACACUCUCGUUCCCACACAUCAUUGGCCUUGCUCCCAAUCAUUAAACCUUUCCUUCGUCUGCAGUGUACAACGUGAGUAGGGACCAGAACAGCCUCCAUCUGUUAGGACUUACAUCUGGUCACCACCAGGUUUGGAUCAGGGCUGAGACUAAGGCUGGACUGGGGACCCAGUGAAACCAUCAACUUCUCUACUGAGAAACAGCCAUGGUUUCCUCAAAUAUUUGGUGCCAGGAAUAAUAGCAGGGAUGUUGCUAUUGAUCAUGAUAAUUGUACAAAUGAAGACUUGUGCGAAAGUACCCUGACCCCCAGCAACAGCAAACUGCUCCAACAGAUGAAGUUG